rnacentral:lncRNA from 1 species
UUAGUUUUUGUUAUAUUUUAUAUUUAGUUAUUUUAAUAUUACGAUGGAUGUUUAAUAUAAUAUUUUUAUUUCUUAUAUUAUAUAUUUACUUAUUAUUUAUUUUAUUUAUAUUUUCAGAGAGAUGUUUAAUUUAUUUUUUUCAUUUUUUAAUUACAUAUUUACUUAUUGUUUAUUUUUUAUAUUGUAUAUUUACCUAUUCUAUUUUUUUUCUUUAUAUCAAAUGAUAAUUUUAUUAUAGAUGUUUAAUGUAAUAUUACUAUUUCUUAUAUUUUAUGCUUGUUUUUUAAUAUUGUAUAUUUACUUAUAAAAAAAUAUUGUAAAAAAUAAAAAUGUAUAACUAUACAUUUUUCGGAUAGAUGUUUAAUGUACUUUUUCCAUUUCUAAUAUUGUAUAUUUACUUAUUAUUGAUUUUUUUCUUAUAUUGUAUAUUUAUUUAUUCUAAUUUUUUUGCUUUUAUAUCUAAUUGUAAUAUUACGAUAUAUGUUUAAUGUACUAUUUAUAUUUCCUAUAUUGUAUAUUUACUUAUUAUUUAUUUUAUAAUACAUUUUGCAUAUAGAUGUUUAAUGUAGUUUUUCUAAUUCUUAUAUUGUAUGUUUACUUAUUAUUUAUUUUUCUUAUAUUUUAUAUUUAAUUAUUAUUUAUUUUACGAUACAUUUUUCGGAUAGAUGUUUAAUUUAGUAUUUCUACUUCUUAUGUUGUAUAUUUACUUAUUAUUUAUUUUACUAUACAUUUUUCAGAUAUGUGUUUAAUUUAUUUUUUCUACUUCUUAUAUUGUAUAUUUAUUUAUUUUUUUAUUUUUUUCUUAUAUUUUAUUUUUACUUAUUCUAUUAUUUUUUUUGUUUUUAUAUCAAAAGAUAAUAUUACGUUAGAUGUUUAAUGUAAUAUUUUUAUUUCUUAUAUUGUAUAUUUACUUAUUAUUUAUUUUUUAUAUUUUAUAUUUACCUAUUGUAAUAUUAUGAUAAAUGCUUAAUAUAAUAUUUAUAUUUUGUAUGUUGUAUAUUUACUUAUUAUUUAUUUUACUAUACAUUUUUCUGAUAGAUGUUUAAUUUAGUUUUUUUUCAUUUCUUAAUUUUAUAUUUACUUAUUAUUUAUUUUUUCGUAGAUUGUAUAUUUACUUAUUAUAAUUUUUUUGCUUUUAUAUCAAAUGAUAUUAUUAUGAUAUAUGUUAGUUUAUGUAAUAUUUCUAUUUCUUAUAUUGUAAUUUACUUAUUAUUUAUUUUUCUUUAUAUUGUAUAGUAACUUAUUAUUUAUUUUUGUUUUUUAGUAAUAAUUUCAUGUGGCUUUUUUUGGAAGAGAGAUUUUAUGCUUAUGUUGACACUCCACGGAGCCCUAAUAGUCCAUUUUAUCAGUUUUUUUUUAAUUUCUUAAUUUUAUAUUUACUUAUUGUUUAUUUUUUCUUAUAUUGUAUAUUUACUUAUUCUAAUUUUCUUGCUUUGAUAGAUGUUAAUUUAAUGUAAUAUUUAUAUUGCUUAUAUUGUGUGUUUACUUAUUAAUUAUUUUUACUUAUAUUGUAUAUUUAUUAUUAUGAUUAUUUGUUGUUAGUAAUAAUGCAAUGUGGCAUCUUUUGGAAAAAGAAUUUUAUGCUUAGGUGGACACUCCAUGGAGCCUCAAAUAGUCUAUUUUAUUAGUAUAGAUUGGUUUAGUAGAUGUGUAUACAUUUUGUGUGUACAUUCAACUAGAUCCAAAUGUUUUGUAUGUAACAAGUCAAUUACGAACUAACUAACUAAGUGAAGAUGUAGUAGUCAUUAAUUUGGUUAAAGCCAACAAAGAGUGGAAUGUUGGGUAAAGACUAGCUAGUUGUUAAGUUUAAAGAGGUUGUUAAAUUAGAAGUGAGUUAAAAUGUGUAUGAACUAAAAUCAUU